rnacentral:rRNA from 3 species
GACUCGUCACACUAUCAUUAACUGAAUCCAUAGGUUAAUGAGGCGAACCGGGGGAACUGAAACAUCUAAGUACCCCGAGGAAAAGAAAUCAACCGAGAUUCCCCCAGUAGCGGCGAGCGAACGGGGAGGAGCCCAGAGCCUGAAUCAGCAUGUGUGUUAGUGGAAGCGUCUGGAAAGGCGCGCGAUACAGGGUGACAGCCCCGUACACAAAAGCGCAUGUGCUGUGAGCUCGAUGAGUAGGGCGGGACACGUGGUAUCCUGUCUGAAUAUGGGGGGACCAUCCUCCAAGGCUAAAUACUCCUGACUGACCGAUAGUGAACCAGUACCGUGAGGGAAAGGCGAAAAGAACCCCGGCGAGGGGAGUGAAAAAGAACCUGAAACCGUGUACGUACAAGCAGUGGGAGCACCCUUUGGGGUGUGACUGCGUACCUUUUGUAUAAUGGGUCAGCGACUUAUAUUCUGUAGCAAGGUUAACCGUAUAGGGGAGCCGUAGGGAAACCGAGUCUUAAC